UGCAGUCGACGAGCUUCCGUUGAAUGACGUGCUUGCACUGAUUUCAACAAUGAAGCGAGUGGCGAACUGGUGAGUAACACGUGGGGAAUCUGCCCAGAAGCAGGGGAUAACACUUGGAAACAGGUGCUAAUACCGUAUAACAACAAAAUCCGCAUGGAUUUUGUUUGAAAGGUGGCUUCGGCUAUCACUUCUGGAUGAUCCCGCGGCGUAUUAGUUAGUUGGUGAGGUAAAGGCCCACCAAGACGAUGAUACGUAGCCGACCUGAGAGGGUAAUCGGCCACAUUGGGACUGAGACACGGCCCAAACUCCUACGGGAGGCAGCAGUAGGGAAUCUUCCACAAUGGACGAAAGUCUGAUGGAGCAAUGCCGCGUGAGUGAAGAAGGGUUUCGGCUCGUAAAACUCUGUUGUUAAAGAAGAACACCUUUGAGAGUAACUGUUCAAGGGUUGACGGUAUUUAACCAGAAAGCCACGGCUAACUACGUGCCAGCAGCCGCGGUAAUACGUAGGUGGCAAGCGUUGUCCGGAUUUAUUGGGCGUAAAGCGAGCGCAGGCGGUUUUUUAAGUCUGAUGUGAAAGCCUUCGGCUUAACCGGAGAAGUGCAUCGGAAACUGRGAGACUUGAGUGCAGAAGAGGACAGUGGAACUCCAUGUGUAGCGGUGGAAUGCGUAGAUAUAUGGAAGAACACCAGUGGCGAAGGCGGCUGUCUAGUCUGUAACUGACGCUGAGGCUCGAAAGCAUGGGUAGCGAACAGGAUUAGAUACCCUGGUAGUCCAUGCCGUAACGAUGAGUGCUA
rnacentral:rRNA from 2 species